CGGGAGGGAGGCGGAGCUGGCCCGAGGAGCCCCGACUGCAAGUUCCACGGCCUGAUUGGGACUCGGUUCCCAGGAGGCGGCGGCGCAGCUCCCAGGUUAGCUAUAUAUGUAAACUGCAGCUUUUCUACCAAGCCUCCGUGACAGCAUCUCAUGCUAUUUUCAGCCUUGAGGAUGGACACAUGGUUGUUUGCAUGAAACACGAUUGCUGCUGCCGAGGAAUCCUGUCGCGUAGCGCCCGCCUGUGUCUUCAGUCCUUGUGGUGGCAGCCACAUUGUUCCACUUGCGAUAAGACGGGGGCCUCUCAGACUGUGCUCCUACCUCCUAGUGAGAAUUACCAGCAGGUCUGCAUGGAUUCCUAAGUAAUGUGAGCCUGCUUUCCCACAAAUGUCUUUCAUAAUAAAUGAU